CGCCGUCGGCGACCUUCGGGCUCGGGGCCCAGAGAUGCCUGCAAGCCUCGGGCGCCGCCUCAGCCCGGGGACGCCAGUCCGGGCCGGGAGGAGCACGUGCUUCUGCCCAGUUCCUCGUUGGGGAUUUUCCUCCUCUCUUUUCCUUCCCGCCCCCCGCCCCCUAUUAAGGUGGUGUGUCACGCUGGUGAAGUGUGAAAUUGGUGAAGUCCAGAACAAAACCAGGCACCGUGGGCCGUGGAUGCCUGGCUGUGUGUGGAGCAGGGCCGUGCAGUACAGCCAGCUGUCCUCCCUCGGUAGUCAGGAGCUCCCGCCGCGGGACUACUUGGUGACCGUGUGGAGUUGACCUCACACGGGUGUGAAAGAGCCCUGCAAGGCUGUAUACUUGAAGGUCCAGGACCCAGACCCUGGAAGAUGCUGUUGCAUGUGAUUUGGAGUUCUCCUCCUUCUCUGCUUCCCUGCUGGCUCUGAAUGAUUUGUGACUGCAUUCCACAAAGGUCCAGUGUGACAAGAGCAGAAGAAUACAUUAAAAGGCUUUUUUAGAGAUUCCAGAUUUUACAGAUAUGGUCUUUAGAUCCAGUGAAGAGAAGAUAAUCAGUUGCUUCAAUGCAAAGUA